AGGAGAUUGGACUCCAUGAACUGGCCUGGUAAUGAGAGUUUGGGAGGGCGAGGAAGAGGAAGGACCAGGGAGGAAAAGGAGGGAGUCUCAAUGCAGUCCACAACCAGAGUGUUCAAUGAAGGUUGUUGUUGUUCAGUCACUAAGUCACAUCCAACUCUUUCCAACCCCAUGAACUGCAGCAUGCCAGGCCUCCCUGCCCCUCACCAUCUCCUGGAGUUUGCCCAAGUUCAUGUCCAUUGAGUUGGUGUCAAUGAACAAAGUGGACGUGUUAGUUACUCGGUCGUGUCCGAACUGCAACCCAAUGAACUGUAGCCCACCAGGCUCCUCUGUCCAUGGAAUUCUCUGGGCAAGAAUACUGGAGUGGAUUGCCAUUUCCUUCUCCAGAGGAUCUUCCUGACCCAGGGAUGGAACCCAGGUCUCCUGCAUUGCAGGCAAGUUCUUUAUUAUCUGAGCCACAAAGGAAGCAGGGUCAAUGAAGGUUAGUUAUUAAUAUAUAUUUGCUCUGUGGGCCCGUGCCCUGGAAUCACAGGGAGUGGGGUCCAAGUUACCAGAACUGGCAUCUUCCUCUCCUAGUAAGAAAUUAAUGUUCAGAGAACUCCUGGCCCCUCAGAGCUGCAAACUUCUAUCAUUUCCCCUCGAGUUUAUUAGAAAUGCAGACACCCAGACCUGCUGAAUCAGAAUUGCAUUUCAAUUAGCUCUCUAGGCAGACGAUUUGCAUGUACAUGAAAGUUUUAAAAGCCCUGUCUACCUCCAAAAUACAUACUUGGUGGAAGUAAAUCAGUCCGCUUGCCUUGGAGAGCUUAAUUGCUUGCAGUUGUCCUUUGGGAGAAGACAGUGGGUAGGGCAACCCAGGCCAGCCCUUUUUUCUUGCCUCUCUACUCCCUGUUCUCCCUUGCCUCCUCCCAUUGUCCUUUGGGAGAAGACAGUGGGUAGGGCAACCCAGGCCAGCCCUUUUUUCUUGCCUCUCUACUCCCUGUUCUCCCUUGCCUCCUCACAUCCCAGCCCUUCCUCUUUCCGGUUCUCUGUCUCUUUCAUCGCCCGUCCAGUGCACAGCCAGCAUACACCAGGGCCCCCUCCCCUUUGCCCCUUGAUUCUGCCAGCAUCACUGGGAGGCACACACCAUCCAGAAGCCAAGGUCCAUCAGGAAGUAACCCUCCCCCGACCCUAAUCCUUUACCCGGCCCUCUGUAAACGAGCCACCCACUUCUAAAAAGUCGAAACGUAGGUAAGACAGCUCAAGAAGGGAACAGCGGUGAUGGGGACUGGAAGGAGCCAGCCCUCCAGUCGUGCCCACAGAUCACCUCCUUCCUGAGCUUUCAUACCUCCCUGCCCUCUGCCCCACACCCGCUCCUGGUCCACGGACUGGGGUCUGUCUGUGAAUUGAAUUUACCAGUCCAGGUAAGAUAAUAGAACAGUUGAAAACAAGAAUUUAGGAACUUUUAUAGCAAUCUGAUAGAGUAAUUUUAUGUUUUUUAAUAUAAUCAUUAAAACGAGGGCUUGUGUUUUGUACCUCUCUUUCAAUGUUUUUUUAGUAAUUCAUUUUUAUGAUAUUGUACAAAAGUAUAGCUCCACAGUGGAUUGGGAGUAAUAAAGAAAAACAGGUCUUUCAACUCAGGUACGUGAGGAGUUGUAAUCUCUCUCUCCC
ensembl:lncRNA